rnacentral:misc_RNA from 1 species
CGAGUGAGGGUCCUCGGGCCCAACCUCCCACCCUUUGUAUACACCUCGUUGCCUUCGGGGCCACUGGGCCACCUGGUCGCCGGGACGCAUGUCCCCGGCCCGAUGACCAGCGAAGAGCUCUGGCAUCCUGUAUGACGUCUGGAUGUAUGAGUUACAUGAAAUGUCA